UUACACUGGAAGUAGUUUACGACAAAGAGUUUUCUAUGGAUAAUAAUUGCAAUUAAAAAUAAUCGUGCACAUCCCGAAAAAUACUUUGCAAUUCGAAGGAUUUCAACUGGGAGGCUGUUACGAAUGCAGAUCUUAAAAUCAUAUCGCAAUAGUGUCUCGAGACAUCGUUGUUUUUUUCCUCUUAUUGGCGUUUUCACACACUUUGGUGCGAAUAAUUGGUAUGCUGUUGUAGAACAGAUUCUCGGGGAUCCGCGAACGUCCACGAUUUCCUGAACCGUUAGAAAAAUUUUCUGCACCCAUGCUGGAGAGGUCUCGAAUCGCUCGAUGGUCGAUUGAUUAUGAAUCGCGCGUUGCGAAUCGUCUGGCAAAUGGCAUCGCGAAAGGAGGCUAGUGUAUUUAGUACUUCGUGAGGCCAUGAAACCGUAAUGCCAUGAAUUUUUUUUUUUCUGUUAAUUCUGUUCAAUUAUUGAAUAAAUUACUAUUUAUAAUUCGUUCCUAUAUGUAAUAUUUAUGAAAUUACGAUUGAUCGAUCUCGUUUAUUUUCCAUCAGAAUUUUGUAAAUUAAGUUGAAUUUGGGAAAAGUUAUUGAUAGUAAAUGAUAAGACAAGUGAAUUACUAUAUAUGAGCCAAAAUUUCACUAGAUUUAUCAAAAAAGAUUCACAAUCAUAAGUAUUAUCUAUUCAGAAAAGAAAAUAUUCAUAAAAGAAAUAUUAUUAAAAAUUCAGAAACAGGGUUAAGUCGAACGCGGUUGACGAGUGAUGAGUCGCCAUUUAGUCAAAGGAGGAGAACGAUCCUUCGAAUAAAAUUGCUAGAUGUAUAAUCUGGUUGGAAGACAUGAAAUAAUACAGGACGGGUACACAAACGAGGACAGUUAACUGCAAGCUGCAGCAAAUUCCACAAUUGCUCUUUUAUCAUGAUCUUCAGAGUACCAGGCAGAAUUACUUUAUUACAGGGCUCAAUUUGCUUUCAAUUUUCCAGAGUUGCUCGCAUGAGAGAUGUAUGCGAAUGCUUGAGUACGUAAUCCUUUGCUCAAACUCAUUAAACCGUAAUUUUGUUAGGCGAACGUUUUGUUGACAACUACACGCGAAUUAUAAAAAAAAAAAAA